AUAUGGUUAAGUUUGGUUAUCCUGCAUGCUUAAGUUGAUUAUAGUAUUUGGUUAACUAAGUUGCUGCUUCUUUUUUCGCAGCAAGCUGUCCGCGCGCAGAGGCAGCGGUUGGCGAGUGGUUCUUCUUGUCCGACGAAACAAGUAGAGGUUGUGUGUCUCGGGAGUAUGAGGUACCCUUGUACUUCCGCGUGGGCUCUAGCCUCCGACGGUUCUCCUCCACCUAUAUCCAAUUUAUGUUGUACCUUGAAGCGGUGGAUCUCGGGAAGCCCAGUACCAUCUUGAGCACAGCGGUGACGGAGGCCAUGGCUCCUAGCUCGAGAAGGUGGCAGCGCCCAAUGCCCAUGACUCCCACCUUGAUGCGCCACCCCUGGUGUUCCGUUGUUGAAUACUUCCAGCGGAAGACGGCGGCCUCCCACCCCGCCUCCGUGAUUUGUAGCCUUAGUGGUUUUUUUCUUCAUCAACAUGCCAUUAGUGCUUCAUUAGUGGGCCACAGGUUUAUUAAGUUGUUUCAUUAACAUGUGCGAGUUGGCUUCUGAAAAAUUACUAGAUUGCUUCUACAUGCUAGUUAUGCUUUCUAGUUUAUUAUUCACAUUCUUGCUAAACUUUUCCCCCCUCAAAUAAACUGAAUAAUUAUAUAUGCCUUCUAAUAUUUUCCACAAGUUGGUUAUCGAAAGAGUUGCAUUCCCCCUAGUUGUCAUGUAUUAAAUGAGGUUUCAUUAAUAUGUGUAAGUUGGCUACUGAAAAAAGGCAAAUUGAUUUUUUAAGCAUGCUAAAGUUGCCUACUAAAAUUAUUAAGUUGCGUCCACAUGCUAGUUGUUUAUCAGUUUCUUAUUCACAUUAUGGCUACUUUGUUUCCCUUAAACAAAUUAUAUAAGCUGGAUUCUGGCAGAAACUAAGUUGCCUACCAAAGGUAUUAAGUUGCAUCCCCCUAGUUGUCAUGUAUUUGAGGUUUCAAUAAGUUGUUUUCAUUAAUAUGUUUUCUAGAGUUUGAGAUGAUGCAGACCUUAGUGGGGUGAUCCCGCACAUAGUUGUUUUCCUGUGUGAAACACGUUUGUGGAUUUCUAUGUAUAUCCAUGUAUUCAUGGAUGAAGAAGAAAAGUAGUAGCUGGUGGACCUGGCCCCUGGGAGCGAAAGAAGACUGGAGCAGUUCCCUGAUCGCUUUGUUACGCGUACAGCACGCGUCCGUUGGGAACCCCAAGAGUAAGGUGUGAUGCGUACAGCGGCAAGUUUUCCCUCAGUAAGAAACCAAGGUUUAUCGAACCAGUAGGAGCCAAGAAGCACGUUGAAGGUUGAUGGCGGCGGAGUGUAGUGCGGCGCAACACCAGGGAUUCCGGCGCCAACGUGGAACCUGCACAACACAACCAAAUUACUUUGCCCCAACGUGACAGUGAGGUUGUCAAUCUCACCGGCUUGCUGUAACAAAGGAUUAGAUGUAUAGUGUGGAUGAUGAUGUUUGCAGAGA